UCUUGCUCACUCUCAAAAUCUUAAAAAAAAAAAAAACAAACCUCAAAUUGUGGGUCAUUUGCAAAUUAAUAUUUUUGAACAUUAUGAUCAUGUUUAGACCUCAAACAACAUAUCUCUAUUCCACCCCCAAAAAUGCUGGCACGCAUUCUCCUCAGCUAACUUACUAACAGGCAAGAACAGGAUCAGUUUUGCUUUCUAAUAAACGGGAUCACCAUUUUAUUGUUAUCUGGUUUACACUUUUCUAACUAUUGCAGUGUUGUUUAGUUGGGGCUAAGAAAUGUGUAAGAUUUGGCAAACUGUCAAUUCCUGAGGGGUUUGGAGAGACAGAGCUCUCUGAGCUGGCUAGAAAUCUAAAGGCAAAAAAAUAAAAUGAAAGAAGAAACAGAAAACCUAGAAUUAACUGGACUGUUCUUUUCCCCUCCAGAAAUAAUAUUUUUCACUGUCUUAUAUAUAAAUGUCUUUCAUAAAGACCAGACAAACCUCCAGGAUAUCAAAUUGUUGGAGCUGCUGGAGACUUAAGACAUGACUGUCUCCUUGCACUAAAACCCUGCCUCUCCCCACGGUCCACCAGAAGGAUAGUCCAUGGCCUCCACUCCUGUGCCUCUGAGUUCAUGGGUUCUGUGAGCUAAGUCUGCCACCCCCAUGGACUUGGCCUCUACACAGGACUCCCUUUCUUUUAAAUCUUCAGGAUUUGGUAACAGGCUUGUAUAGUAUUUAACUUUAAUUUUAAUGCAAAUUUUAUGGAAAUUGGUCUUUAGUUUAUUCCCUGAAUUAAAUUUAAUUUGGAAAUACACUGUAUUAGGAGUUAGGUACCUGUCACUUUCUAGCUGCCUUAGGCUAUACACUUAACUUCUCUAGACUUUGAGUUUUAUGUAUAAUAUCCAAAGGUCAAAAGAUGAUUUCCCAGUACCCUCAACUCUCCCUGCAACUUGCCCAUCCUGACUCUAUGGUUCUAAAAUGUUCAAAGUGAGUCAUAUCCCUUUUUCUGCCUCCUGUUUCUUUCUCACCCAAAACACUGCAUCUAACUUGUGUAUCUUUAAAUCUUCCAGGUUAUAGAGUCCUGAUUUUUUUUAUCCUCAUCAUUUGAAUUUAGUCCUUUAGAAACUAUAUGGGCUUUCACCAGGAAACUGAUAAUAUUCAGCCGAAGUAUUAUAUCACAAUCAUUUUUCUGUCUUCUGAGAUCAGUUCAGUUAACAUUUUUCAUAUCUCUUUCACAAAGCACUUCAUGUAAGUAUAAUGUUACAGUGAAUUUAAUCUGGCUAAGAGUGACAUAGUUUAAUGCUUCCUAAAUUCUCCAAUCUGCCAGCCAACUGAAUGCUGCAAACUAGCUGACAAAGUGAUGGGCACAUCACUGCUUGUGGUGAUUUAUACAAACAGAUUAUAAUCAAUUUUUUUCUUUAGGAAUCAUCAUGACUAGAAUGUAUAUCAAUAUGUUCAGCCCUCAAGCCAAAACCACUAUGACGCUAAUGCCACAGUCAAUCCGUGUUCGCUGCUAUGGAAAUGAUAUGCAGAUAAUAUGUGAUAGUGACCUAAAGAACUGAUAAAAAUUUCCUACUUUGACAUUCCCAUAAUCAGAAUACUGUGAAUACACCCUAUUCACAGAGAAAUUUGUUUUGUAACAAAGCUCUAAUGACACAAGAUAAAAAACCAUAUUAAAGACAUUCCUAUUUUGCCUUAUGAGCACAUCAAGAAAAUAUGUUUUGAUAUUUGGUAUUUGUACACCAGCUUCCCAAGAACUUAUCCUAGACCACUUAAAUGAAAUAAUCAAUUACAUAAGAAACGACUCCUUUAAAUUGUUUUAUACCAUGAUAUAACUAGGAAGACUAAUCCUCCUCCUCUUUCUUGAGCCCUAAUGAAUGACCAAAAUGAAAAUUUUCUUUUUGUUUCUAGGAUACUGAAAGAGAUUCACAUAAUUCUAUAUGUGAUAGAUGAUAUACCAGACAGUGGAGUGAAUACUUUUGGGAUAUAGAUACUUCUGGGAGUCAGAGACUAUCUUCAAUUGACUAGAAAAUAUGGAAGACUAUCAUAUUCUUUGUCCUGUGGAUGCAGUGGAAAGAAGUAAAACAUAUUAUGUGUUUUCCUGUAAUACAAUUAUUUGCACUUGUACCAGAAAAAUAAAAUAUCAGGAGAGAAAUUUCACCUAAAGCAUCUGUCAGAAAUGCCAUAUUCAAUGUGAUAUUAAAAGGAAAGAAGCAUAUCCUGUCUAUCAGGAAUUCGACCUCAAAUUACAUCCAGAAUCGAACUACUUCUCCACACCUGUAGACUUCUACUACCCACGAACUGGCAUGGACCAAUGGAAAGAGCCCAGGAACAAAUGUCAGAAGUGAACCUGCUCUGGGUUGUGCUGUGAUAAAGUCAUGCAACCCUGGGCUGAUCUUCUAACAUCUGAGCCUCAGUUUCUUCAUUUUUUAAUAAGCCAGUGGUACUGUCUGAUCUACAAUAUUUCUCUUGAUUCAAAUUUUAUAUGACUGUAAUUUAAGCACAAUGUCUAUAGUAUAUAUUUACCUAAAAAUCAAGCAUUAUAAACUGGUGUUAUUUUACCA